AACAAAUUUCACAAUUUACCUGGCGCUCAAUUAAAAAUAUUUUGUGAACUUGGCGCUUCUAUUAUAGAGUGGCACUGGAAUUAAAAGAAAGACAGUACACCUGUAGCAAAAGCAACAUUCCAGAAGCCAGAAGUCAACUAUACACAGAAGCCAGAAGGGUCAUUCUGUAUCAAUUCAACGAAAUUUAAAACGUGACCUCUUCAAAAUUGCACGAAACUUGGUAUAUGUAUGAGGAAUGGUAUAUGAUAACAUCUCAGAACAAUUUUGUGUUUGUAAACAAUAUGGCUUCUGAGAUUGAGUUAAUCAUUAUUCUUGUGUUGUAUCAUUGAGCAGGUAGAUUGAUCUUGACACUGUAUGAUGAUACCUCGAGACCUUCUGCUUCGCACCUGAAUGUAGAUAGUAGUAUAAUUAUGAUCAUUGUAUUUCUUCACCAUCA